UUGAUCCUGCCAGUAGUCAUAUGCUUGUCUCAAAGAUUAAGCCAUGCAUGUCUCAGUACAAGCCACAUUAAGGUGAAACCGCGAAAGGCUCAUUAAAUCAGUUAUGGUUCCUUAGAUCGUACCCACAUUUACUUGGAUAACUGUGGUAAUUCUAGAGCUAAUACAUGCAAACAGAGUUCCGACCGGAGACGGGAGGAAUGCUUUUAUUAGAUCAAAACCAAUCGGCGGCGGGUGCGCUCGCGCGCCCGUUCGCCGCUCAACCUGGUGACUCUGAAUAACUUUCGGCUGAUCGCACGGUCCAGCACCGGCGACGCAUCUUUCAAAUGUCUGCCUUAUCAACUGUCGAUGGUAGGUUCUGCGCCUACCAUGGUCGUAACGGGUAACGGGGAAUCAGGGUUCGAUUCCGGAGAGGGAGCCUGAGAAACGGCUACCACAUCCAAGGAAGGCAGCAGGCGCGCAAAUUACCCACUCCCGGCACGGGGAGGUAGUGACGAAAAAUAACGAUACGGGACUCAUCCGAGGCCCCGUAAUCGGAAUGAGUACACUUUAAAUCCUUUAACGAGGAUCAAUUGGAGGGCAAGUCUGGUGCCAGCAGCC
rnacentral:rRNA from 1 species